rnacentral:rRNA from 1 species
UACUCUUGACCAGCCUUCUGAAAGGAAGAUUAAUCCAGGAUGGGAUCAUGAGUUCACAUGUCCGCAUGAUUAAAGGUAUUUUCCGGUAGACGAUGGGGAUGCGUUCCAUUAGAUAGUAGGCGGGGUAACGGCCCACCUAGUCAACGAUGGAUAGGGGUUCUGAGAGGAAGGUCCCCCACAUUGGAACUGAGACACGGUCCAAACUCCUACGGGAGGCAGCAGUGAGGAAUAUUGGUCAAUGGGCGAUGGCCUGAACCAGCCAAGUAGCGUGAAGGAUGACUGCCCUAUGGGUUGUAAACUUCUUUUAUAAAGGAAUAAAGUCGGGUAUGCAUACCCGUUUGCAUGUACUUUAUGAAUAAGGAUCGGCUAACUCCGUGCCAGCAGCCGCGGUAAUACGGAGGAUCCGAGCGUUAUCCGGAUUUAUUGGGUUUAAAGGGAGCGUAGAUGGAUGUUUAAGUCAGUUGUGAAAGUUUGCGGCUCAACCGUAAAAUUGCUGUUGAUACUGGAUGUCUUGAGUGCAGUUGAGGCAGGCGGAAUUCGUGGUGUAGCGGUGAAAUGCUUAGAUAUCACGAAGAACUCCGAUUGCGAAGGC